UUUAAUUGUAGUUGUGGAUUUCUGUGUCCAACAUUUGACCGUUCGUCUUAUUUGAUUUUUUUUUAUGAUUAAUAUUUUUGUUGUUAUUAAAUGAUAAAACAACAAUAGUACUUUAUGUGUGACUAAUUUUUUAAUUUUUUUCAUAAAUUUUUCAAACAAGAUGGAUGGUUAAUGUUGGACACGGAGACCCGCAACUACACUUAAA
rfam:Oryza sativa Japonica Group DNA, chromosome 11, cultivar: Nipponbare, complete sequence.